AGUAACCCUAGAGGAUAGGGUACCCUCGAGUGGAGAGGCUUGGAUUAUGCUCACGGUCUGUUUUAACUUGUGAUGGAAGCCCCACACAAGAAGUGCGCUCCAGAGUUGGUCACGUGGGAUUGCCUAUUUUGGGUCCCAAGGGAUUGCCUAUUUUGGGUCCCGGCAGACGGUCUCGGUUCGUAGUGCGAGUUGACCCUCCCUACCUUCUAGAUGGCUAGUGAGCAGUAGGCGAGCUUUCAGAGAAGCCACGAGAUUAAGAAACAAGUAAAUGAGAUUGAUGAGCAAGUAUAUAGCUUUACUUUUUGGACAUGAUGACAGGUUAGUUGCUUACCAUUUCAUUGUACAUG
rnacentral:lncRNA from 1 species